rnacentral:rRNA from 1 species
GACGAACGCUGGCGGCGUGCUUAACACAUGCAAGUCGAGCGGAAAGACCCUGCUUUUGUUCGUUUCUCGUUUGGCGAACGCGGGUGUGACACGUGAGUAACCUCCCCUUGUCUUUCUGAUAACUUCUGGGGACUGCGGCUCAUACCCGGGAUGAUCUCCUGCUGCGUGUUGUUGAUUAGAGAAUUUCGGCGGUUGUGUCUGGACUCGCGGCUUAUGAGCUUGUUUGUGGAGUAGUUGCUUACCACGGCUUUGACGGGUAGCCUGCAUGAGAGGGUGAACGGGCACCUUGGGACUGCGAGACGGACCAGAAUCGUAUGGGAGGCAGUAGUGGGGAAUAUUGCACAAUGGGCGGAAGCGUGAUGUAGAAACGUUGCGUGCGGGAUGAUGGCCUUCGGGUUGUAAACCGAUUUGGAAUGUGAUGAAGAGGGAGUGACGGUAAUGGGUAAAGAAGCAACGGCUAACUACGUG